rnacentral:tRNA from 1 species
GUUUUUCUAGUAUAUAAGUACAGCUGACUUCCAAUCAGCAGGACUGAGCAUUCUCAGGGAUAACA